UUAAAUUGAAGAGUUUGAUCAUGGUUCAGAUUGAACGCUGGCGGCAGGCCUAACACAUGCAAGUCGAACGGUAACAGGAAGCAGCUUGCUGCUU
rnacentral:rRNA from 1 species